GACGAACGCUGGCGGCGUGCCUAAUACAUGCAAGUCGAGCGGAAUGAAGAAGAAGCUUGCUUCUUCUGAUUUUUAGCGGCGGACGGGUGAGUAACACGUGGGCAACCUACCUUGUAGAUUGGGAUAACUCCGGGAAACCGGGGCUAAUACCGAAUAAUCCAUUUUUGCUUCAUGGCGAGAUGUUGAAAGACGGUUUCGGCUGUCACUACAAGAUGGGCCCGCGGCGCAUUAGCUAGUUGGUAGGGUAAUGGCCUACCAAGGCGACGAUGCGUAGCCGACCUGAGAGGGUGAUCGGCCACACUGGGACUGAGACAGGCCCAGACUCCUACGGGAGGCAGCAGUAGGGAAUCUUCCACAAUGGACGAAAGUCUGAUGGAGCAACGCCGCGUGAGUGAAGAAGGUUUUCGGAUCGUAAAACUCUGUUGUAAGGGAAGAACACGUACGAGAGUAACUGCUCGUACCUUGACGGUACCUUAUUAGAAAGCCACGGCUAACUACGUG
rnacentral:rRNA from 1 species